CUCCCACAUGGCUGUGCAUUCAGGGUUGAUAUUGGUGUUAGAUGCAUGAAAUUCAGGCAAAUGUGAGCUGGUAGAAUUCAUCUGGACUGCCCAGAGCAAGUGGAGGUUGGGGCUGCAGACUAUGAAUAAGAAGUGGCUGCAGCCAAUAGAAAGGGGUGAAUCAAAGAUGUUAUCCCUCAUUUUCCUGCUCACUGCCUUUCAUAAAGCUGGCAAGAUCUUAAGGAUAACUCCAAACUUUACACUGUCCCUUAAACCAGAAACUCCUUACCUUAGAAGGAAAAUAACAGAACACUUAGGCGAGAUUACACAUCUGCUUUGCUUUUCUGUGAACUUCUUCCACUGCAAGGUUUGAUUUAUGAUCUAUGCAGAAAUCCUCAUUUGAGUCCUAUUCUAGCACUCAACCAUGCAGUACUUAUUUGUUCAGAGCUCUUUCUAGGAAGGAUCAGUCUCAUUUAGCCUCCAACAAUUUUUCUUUGUUAGCAAAAUACUCAAGUCAUCUGGAUUUCAGCUGUUGCUCUUUUUCCCCCCCUACAAAUUCUUGGAGACAUGGCGAUUUCCAGAAAAUCUGAGUGCAUUGGCUGUACAGAGAGCCCUUUGUGCUGCCCAGUCAAAGAGAAACCAUGUGAAACAAAACACAGCCUGGGGAAAGCAGAAUCUGAUGCAAACUGGUGUUUGCAAACUUGCUCUUGGUCUGCUGGAGCAGAUGCAGCCCAUAAAUCAGCUAAUGAUGAGUUAGAAUCAGCUCAUUAACACAUUUUGAAGUAAGAUACUUGCAUUUUGAAAGGGUAGUGAGGUUUGGUUGUGACCAACAGUACAGACAACCUCUGAGAAACAAGUGCUGUGAGUAGAAGGAAGCUCCUGUGAUGGAUGUGGUUAUCAAAGCCAGCAGCGGGGUGGUUGACUCAGUGUGGUUGAGUAGGAAGCAAAAAUAGAGCAAAAUGCAAGGUUGCUGUCCCUGUCACCUGAGAGAGAGGAAAUGGAAAGCAAAGGUGUAACUCAUCCAGGAGUGGAGAGGAAGGGAAGACUUUGUCCCUCCUUUGUGAACCCCAGGAUAUGAUCAAAGACUUUUCUAGAAUGAAGGUCCUGAAGCAAUUUUAAGUUCAGCUGCAAGACACCUAUGUACUGCUCUCAGUAGGUUACUGUGGGAUGUGAGUACUGUGAACCCCUGGGUACUUGUACUGGUCAGUGGUUGUGAGACCUUAAUCCAGAGGAGUAAGCAUAUAAACUGGCGGUAAUAAAAAAAGUAAGGUUAAAUCCCCUAUUUCUCUUUGAAAAGUGGAACAUUUAUAUAUUGGGCUUUCCUAUUCCCCUUUGCCCUCACAGCUCCAGCCUUGCUAAGGCACCCUCAGGAUAAGGACAGUUCCCUACUCUGGGUUCAGUUCAGCUCCAAGUCCCAAAUGAAUUGGCUUUUUUCCAUUUCUUCUAUUCUGAAUAAAUCACUAAUACUCCGAGUGAUCACUUAAUCAGAGGUUCCUUUGCAGUUUCAAAGGAUUGUCUUCCACAUUUAGCAUGUUUCCCAAUAAUUUCCUACUCUUUUGUUCUUGGUGCUGGAUCAUCUGCCAGCUUUGUCAGGGUGAAAUGUGGACAGUGGACUCUAGACAUUUUCAUCCAAAACUUUCUGAUAAUUACAAAGUAAUAAGUGGAUGAUUUUCACCAUCCUUGGAGAGUUAAGUUUCUGUAGUUGCUGGCCAGGUUUUUUCAUGCAAGAAAUUCAGAAAAGCAAAACAAGUUUCCUCAUGCUGAGGAAGGAAGAUCUUUCUCUAGUUUUUGAUGGCUAACAGUGUUGAAUAAGAACCAUGUCUGACAAGCAAUCAGAUAUAACAGUCAUGUACAAGCUACACGUUGUUCAGUUUGUAACUCUACAAAUCAAGACUCCGAAAAAGCUGCUAACAGCUGUCCAGAUUUUAUUCAGCAGUAAAAUUGGAAGAUGAGGGUGUAAUGUAAUGGCAAACCCCUUUCUUAGCAGCUUGAGGGCUUCCUUUUGAAUGGGAUCCUGGAAAUAGUUAUUCUGGCCCUAGUAAUGCUUAAAGAGAGGCCAAAACAUAAGGAAAUAAAAAAGAAGGGGUUGAAGUGAAAUCAAAUCUUAGAUCCAAGCUCCCUGAAUUUGGGAAUUGUUUGGAAUUGGAUACAAACUGCAUGUCUUGAGUCCAUUGGUAAUAGGAAAGAAAUUAUCCUAACAGUCACUAGUUAUUAGUUAUUAUUACUAGUUACUAGUUAUCUGUCACUUAUAACAACAACCCUGUUUGUUAAAUUACUGAGUUCUCAAUAUACAAUAUUCUUUGUAUCUCAAUAUUCUCUGAGAAGCCAUUGUUUCAUGUGAAUGUAUCCAAGUUAUUAAAACACAGCUUUAAGGACUCUGCACUGACCUUUCAAGCAACACACCCUAAUUUUCCCAUUACCACGAUGCACUCACAGCCCAGAAGAC